UACUACCGAAGCUACGGCAUCAGUAAUGAUGGGUAGGGGAGCUUCCCAUACGGGUUGAAGCAUGACCGUAAGGACAUGUGGACAGUAUGGGAGUGAGAAUGUUGGCAUGAGUAGCGAGAUGUGGGUGAGAAUCCCACAGGCCGUAAACCCAAGGUUUCCAGGGGAAGGUUCGUCCGCCCUGGGGUAGUCGGGACCUAAGCUGAGGCCGAAAGGCGUAGGGGAUGGACAACAGGUUGAUAUUCCUGUACUACCGAUAACCGUUUGAGAGAAGGGAUGACACAGUAGGAUAAGCUAAGCACACUGUUGGUUAUGUGUGCCCAAGCAUUGAGGCAGUCAAAGUAGGCAAAUCCGCUUUGAUAAUGCUGGGAUGUGAUGGGGAGCGAAAUU
rnacentral:rRNA from 1 species